AUCGACUGGCCGGAUUGAACUCAGGUUAACUCGUAUCACGACGUGUUACAAAAUUAACGGGAUUUGCUGAUUUUUCUUCAUUCAUGGUUUGCAACGUUAAGCAAUAUACGAUAGCAAUAUAAGAUAACGAAAUUUGACAGUGAUUCAGCUACUUAGAAAAUAAAAAAUACUAUACCAAGGAUCGACUGGAGUGUCACGCUCGACAAAGUGGCUUGCUUUUGAAUGGAAAAAGCUGCGCAAUUCGACACGUCUCACUAAAGUAAGUUGACUGCAUAAGGCACUGUGAAACACAACAACUUAGUAAAUGUCUCUAUUACGGCCGACACUGGACGCCAUUACACGCUAAAACCAAGCCAUGGAAUUCCU